rnacentral:rRNA from 1 species
GAUGAACGCUAGCGGCAGGCUUAAUUCAUGCAAGUCGUGGGGCAGCAUGACUGUAGCAAUACAGUUGAUGGCGACCGGCAAACGGGUGCGGAACACGUACACAACCUUCCUUUAAGUGGGGAAUAGCCCAGGGAAACUUGGAUUAAUACCCCGUAACAUAUAGAAGUGGCAUCACUUUUAUAUUAUAGCUACGGCGCUUAGAGCUGGGUCUGCGGCUGAUUAGGUAGUUGGCGGGGUAACGGCCCACCAAGCCGACGAUCAGUAACUGGUGUGAGAGCACGAACAGACACGCGGGCACUGAGACACGGGCCCGACUCCUACGGGAGGCAGCAGUGAGGAAUAUUGGUCAAUGGACGAGAGUCUGAACCAGCCAAGUCGCGUGAAGGAAGACUGCCCUAAGGGUUGUAAACUUCUUUUGUAUGGGAAUAAACAGAGGCACGUGUGCUAUAUUGUAUGUACCAUACGAAUAAGGAUCGGCUAACUCCGUGCCAGCAGCCGCGGUAAAAC